rnacentral:rRNA from 1 species
UGCCAGCCGCCGCGGUAAUACGUAGGGUGCGAGCGUUAAUCGGAAUUACUGGGCGUAAAGCGUGCGCAGGCGGUUCGUUGUGUCUGAUGUGAAAGCCCCGGGCUCAACCUGGGAACUGCAUUGGAAACUGGCGGACUGGAGUGUGGCAGAGGGGGGUGGAAUUCCGCGUGUAGCAGUGAAAUGCGUAGAGAUGCGGAGGAACACCGAUGGCGAAGGCAGCCCCCUGGGCCAACACUGACGCUCAGGCACGAAAGCGUGGGGAGCAAACAGGAUUAGAUA